rnacentral:rRNA from 1 species
GAUGAACGCUGGCUGUGUGCCUAAUACAUGCAUGUCGUGCGAAGCAUUUCGGUGCUUAGCGGCGAAUGGGUGAGUAACACGUACUUAAUCUACCUCUAGGUUUGGGACAACAGUUGGAAACGACUGCUAAUACCGAAUAUUCCUUUUCCUCGCAUGGGGAAUUGGUAAAAGGCCCGUUUGGGUCGCCAAGAGAUGAGAGUGCGGUACAUUAGUUAGUUGGUAGGGUAAUGGCCUACCAAGACGAUGAUGUAUAGCGGGGUUGAGAAGCUGAACCGCCACACUGGGACUGAGAUACGGCCCAGACUCCUACGGGAGGCAGCAGUAGGGAAUAUUCCACAAUGAGCGAAAGCUUGAUGGAGCGACACAGCGUGCAGGAUGAAGGUCUUCGGAUUGUAAACUGCUGUUAUAAGGGAAGAAAACCGGUGUAGGAAAUGACAUCGGCUUGACGGUACCUUAUCAGAAAGCACCGGCAAACUAUGUGCCAGCAGCCGCC